AAACAUAAGAGUUUGAUCCUGGCUCAGGACGAACGCUGGCGGCGUGCCUAACACAUGCAAGUCGAGCGGAGAUGCCAAGGAGCAAUCCAAGGUGUCUUAG
rnacentral:rRNA from 1 species